AAAAGGACUCUCGGCAACGGAUAUCUCGGCUCUUGCAUCGAUGAAGAACGUAGCUAAAUGCGAUACUUGGUGUGAAUUGCAGAAUCCCGUGAACCAUCGAGUUUUUGAACGCAAGUUGCCGCCUGAAACCAUUAGGUUGAGGGCACGCCUGCCUGGGUGUCACAC
rnacentral:rRNA from 1 species